UACAUGUACGAGACACGACAGCUUUACGUAGUCAACCUCACUGCAUCACCGUAAUGAUAACCCACCACCACCACCCGAGCAAUGCAGAGAACGAUGUAGGAAGGGGAGAACUCGGAAGAGGAAAGGGGGGGGGGGGAGUGUGGAAGGAGGGAGGGAGUCAAAGGCGAAGCAUAUCGAGGAGCCAUUGAAUGCGGUUGCUGGGAGUCUUCUCAUGCACUCCCGCUGCUGCACACUUAGAAGUGAAAUCCCGGCGUCCCUGCGGCCUACUGUUGCCCUCUUUGUUUCCUUCUUCUCUCUUUCUGUGGAACUUGUCCGGAGAGGACAGGAAAUAAUUGCUCGCAAAUUUGGAUCUCUCUGCCGUCCUCGCCACCAUCAUUCCAUCUGCAGCAAUUCCCAUCAUUCCUUCUGCCACCCUUUUCUCUCUCUCUCUC
rnacentral:lncRNA from 1 species